rnacentral:rRNA from 1 species
AGGAUGAACGCUAGCGGCAGGCUUAAUACAUGCAAGUCGUGGGGCAGCGCGGGUAGCAAUACCUGGCGGCGACCGGCAAACGGGUGAGGAACAUGUACGCAACCUUCCUUUAACUGGAGAAUAGCCCCCUCGAAAGAGGGAUUAAUACUCCGUAACAUAUUCAUAAGGCAUCUUAUUAAUAUUAUAGCUCCGGCGGUUAAAGAUGGGCGUGCACCUGAUUAGAUAGUUGGCGGGGUAAUGGCCCACCAAGACGAUGAUCGGUA